UUUGUCUAAAUUACCUUUGUUGCUUCGGCGGACCGGUUGAUGACCAACUGGUCCCGACCGCCGGGGGGGCUUCACCCCCUGGAGAGCGUCCGCCGACGGCCCAACCACAAAACUCUUGUACCAAACCAUGUCGUCUGAAUGUACUUGAUUAAGAAUCAAAACAAAACUAAAACUUUCAACAACGGAUCUCUUGGUUCUGGCAUCGAUGAAGAACGCAGCGAAAUGCGAUAAGUAAUGCGAAUUGCAG
rnacentral:rRNA from 1 species